rnacentral:rRNA from 1 species
AGUGAGCGGCAAAAGCUCAAUUUGAAUCUGGUACCUUCGGUGCCCGAGUUGUAAUUUGGAGAGGACCACUUUGGGACCGUUCCUUGCCUAUGUUCCUUGGAACAGGACGUCAUGGAGGGUGAGAAUCCCGUGUGGCGAGGAUGGCGGUUCUUUGUAAAGGGCCUUCGAAGAGUCGAGUUGUUUGGG